rfam:Theileria orientalis strain Shintoku DNA, chromosome 1, complete genome.
GACAGAAUGGCCGAGCGGUCUAUGGCGCUGUGUUCAGGUCGCAGUCCUUCUAGGGCGUGGGUUCGAAUCCCACUUCUGUCA